UGUAUUGAAGUAUAAUUUAUACUCUGUAGAGUGCUCCCACUUUAAGCAUACCAUCCGAUGAGUUUUGACAACUGUAUACACUCCUGAGGCAUCACCAUGGUCCAGACGGGAUGACCCUGCUGGAGUCACACGGGCCACCAAGCGCUGGAAGCGUGGCUGGUCCAAACAGGUGAGAGUGCAUGUGAAAUACGCGUCAAGUUUGGAAGAGAAGAGCGUCUGGGGAGAAAACUACACUAUCUCACUAAUGAUUUCCACGGUGACUAGGUGUUAAACAGUAAUGUUUCAGCACACUGAGUUGAUACAAUGUAGUAUUGAAAUUAACGUCACUGUUUCUUUCUGCUUUUUGAAUGAGUCCGCAGGCUCAUGUGGCGCUGCUGUUGACCAGGCGGUGCAGAGCGCUCCCUCCUGCCAGAAAGUUCUGCGUGCCUCGCCCUCCUGCUCCACUGCCCGGUAGCCCUGACCUGGGCACUGUCCCUCCGAGCCCACGUCCCACCUGUGAGAUGGACUAGGACUUUGCCGCCUGGGCUUGUGUGCGUCUGCAGGGCCCCCAGCUGUGGGCGGGGCCAUCACCCGCAGGCAGUGCCUUCCAACUUCUGGUUCUCCCUCCUGGUCAGUUCUGGAGGAGGGGGUGCGGGGACGGGGGCACCCCCUGCUCUCAGACGCCCCAGAGGGCCGGACCUCGUUCUGCAGUUACUGGCGGAACACGUGCACAAAUACAGGGGGAGGGAGGCCCUUCCGGAAGACAACACACAGAGAAAGAAUAUGGAAUUCCAGAAUUCACCUUUGGCUGCCCCAUAGAAACCAUUGAUUGGAGCGAGAAUCACCAAUAACGAGUCCCCUCAGCCCCUGGCCCACGUCAGGAAGAAACAUCACACAGGAUGCAGGCCCACGUGGAAGGAGGGGUGUUCGACCGGUGACUUGCCUGGACUGUUUGAAAUGUCGAUUCCUCGAAAGACAAAGGAAGACUGAUUCCCAGCCAAGGGAGGCCAAAGAGACAAUCGGAGACCCCUUGAGCAUGGGCUGGACCGAGGUUGAGUGGGUGUGCCGGCAAGGAUACUGGGCAGGGCACAGGGCCCGAGCGUGAGCGGUGCAGGCUGGGCCUGGGGGCAGGCUACAAACACAGAGUCUCGGGCCACCCCACACUGGCUGAACCCAAACCUGUGUAUUUUUAAUUUUCUUGACAGUU